ACGAAAGGAGACCGUAAAGGCAGAGCAAACGAAACUUGAGGAUGAAGAUGAAGAUGUGUUGAUAAGAUCUGGAACGUAAAAUGCAUAAAACUUAAAUUUUCUCGAUGUUGCAGAUACAUUCAUACAAAUGAUGUUGAAGAAACAAAGAGAAAAGGAACUUGGACUGUACCAGUUUGUUUGCAGCUUCUAAGAUUAUUAUUGAAAAAAGAGCACUUUGAAGUACUAGGAGAAUUUGAAAACAUCUUGGUGAAAAAGUCUGACUGGAUAUGACAGAACAUCAAAAUAAAUGACGAAAAAUUACACAUCUUAUCAAAAUAGCACUACUAGAAACUAAAAGCUACUUGCAAUUUUCACUGGUUUUGAGAUCAGUAACAGUCUGACAAGGAAAGAAUUUAAUGAACAUGAUUACGAUGCCUCUUGAUAAAUAUAAAAACAUAUUGACUGUAAAAUAAUUACCAGUUACCAAUUAUAUCUGUUGUUUACAAAAUUUGUUAUUUGGAAAUAUCUGUUGAAUGUUUUGAAAUUAAAAUGUGUUAACUUAAAUGAUUUAAGAAUUGAAGUCUUUAAAUGAUACAAAAGCAAGGAUACAUGGAAUGAUUGCA